rnacentral:rRNA from 1 species
GACGAACCGUGCAAACGUUAUUCGGAUUCAUUGGGCGUAAAGGGUGCGUAGGCGGCGCGGUAAGUCGGGUGUGAAAUCUCGGGGCUUAACUCCGAAACUGCAUUCGAUACUGCCGUGCUUGAGGACUGGAGAGGAGACUGGAAUUUACGGUGUAGCGGUGAAAUGCGUAGAUAUCGUAAGGAAGACCAGUGGCGAAGGCGGGUCUCUGGACAGUUCCUGACGCUGAGGCACGAAGGCCAGGGGAGCAAACGGG